rnacentral:rRNA from 1 species
CCUACGGGUGGCAGCAGUGGGGAAUAUUGGGCAAUGGGCGCAAGCCUGACCCAGCAACGCCGCGUGAAGGAAGAAGGCUUUCGGGUUGUAAACUUCUUUUCUCAGAGACGAAGCAAGUGACGGUACCUGAGGAAUAAGCCACGGCUAACUACGUGCCAGCAGCCGCGGUAAUACGUAGGUGGCAAGCGUUAUCCGGAUUGACUGGGUGUAAAGGGCGGGUAGGCGGGACUGCAAGUCAGAUGGGAAAACCAUGGGCUCAACCUAUGGCCUGCAUUUGAAACUGUAGGUCUUGAGUACUGGAGAGGCAAACGGAAUUCCUAGUGUAGCGGUGAAAUGCGUAGAUAUUAGGAGGAACACCAGUGGCGAAGGCAGGCUGCUGGACAGCAACUGACGCUGAGGCGCGAAAGCGUGGGGAGCAAACAGGAUUAGAUACCCCUGUAGUC